UACAGAGGGGGCAAGCGUUGUUCGGAAUUACUGGGCGUAAAGGGCGCGUAGGCGGCCUGUUAAGUCGAACGUGAAAUCCCCGGGCUCAACCCGGGAACUGCGUCCGAUACUGGCAGGCUUGAAUCCGGGAGAGGGAUGCGGAAUUCCUGGUGUAGCGGUGAAAUGCGCAGAUAUCGGGAGGAACACCGGUGGCGAAGGCGGGUCUCUGGGCGAGUAACUGACGCUGGAGGAGCGAAAGUGUGGGGAGCGAACAGG
rnacentral:rRNA from 1 species